GUCCACGCAGUAAACGAUGAAUACUAGCUGUCCGGAGGGAUUGACCUCUGGGUGGCACAGCGAAAGCGUUAAGUAUUCCACCUGGGAGUACGCCGGCAACGGUGAAACUCAAAGGAAUUGACGGGGCCCGCACAAGCGGAGGAACAUGUGGUUUAAUUCGAAGCAACGCGAAGAACCUUACCAGCCCUUGACAUGGUCGGACGGUUUCCAGAGAUGGAUUCCUUCACUUCGGUGACUGACACACAGGUGCUGCAUGGCUGUCGU
rnacentral:rRNA from 1 species